ACUGAUGUAGCGUAGUGGUUAAGAUGACGGACUGUAACUCAGGUGACCAGGGUUCAAUCCCUGAUCAGGA